rnacentral:rRNA from 1 species
GAUGAACGCUGGCGGCGUGCCUAAUACAUGCAAGUCGAGCGAACAGACGAGGAGCUUGCUCCUUUGACGUUAGCGGCGGACGGGUGAGUAACACGUAGGUAACCCACCUAUAAGACUGGGAUAACUUCGGGAAACCGGAGCUAAUACCGGAUAAUAUUUCGAACCGCAUGGUUCGAUAGUGAAAGAUGGCUUUGCUAUCACUUAUAGAUGGACCUGCGCCGUAUUAGCUAGUUGGUAAGGUAACGGCUUACCAAGGCAACGAUACGUAGCCGACCUGAGAGGGUGAUCGGCUACACUGGAACUGAGACACGGUCCAGACUCCUACGGGAGGCAGCAGUAGGGAAUCUUCCGCAAUGGGCGAAAGCCUGACGGAGCAACGCCGCGUGAGUGAUGAAAGUCUUCGGAUCGUAAAACUCUGUUAUUAGGGAAGAACAAACGUGUAAGUAACUGUGCACGUCUUGACGGUACCUAAUCAGAAAGCCACGGCUAACUACGUGCCAGCAGCCGCGGUAAUACGUAGGUGGCAAGCGUUAUCCGGAAUUAUUGGGCGUAAAGCGCGCGUAGGCGGUUUUUUAAGUCUGAUGUGAAAGCCCACGGCUCAACCGUGGAGGGUCAUUGGAAACUGGAAAACUUGAGUGCAGAAGAGGAAAGUGGAAUUCCAUGUGUAGCGGUGAAAUGCGCAGAGAUAUAGAGGAACACCAGUGGCGAAGGCGACUUUCUGGUCUGUAACUGACGCUGAUGUGCGAAAGCGUGGGGAUCAAACAGGAUUAGAUACCCUGGUAGUCCACGCCGUAAACGAUGAGUGCUAAGUGUUAGGGGGUUUCCGCCCCUUAGUGCUGCAGCUAACGCAUUAAGCACUCCGCCUGGGGAGUACGACCGCAAGGUUGAAACUCAAAGGAAUUGACGGGGGCCCGCACAAGCGGUGGAGCAUGUGGUUUAAUUCGAAGCAACGCGAAGAACCUUACCAAAUCUUGACAUCCUUUGACCCUUCUAGAGAUAGAAGUUUCCCCUUCGGGGGACAAAGUGACAGGUGGUGCAUGGUUGUCGUCAGCUCGUGUCGUGAGAUGUUGGGUUAAGUCCCGCAACGAGCGCAACCCUUAAGCUUAGUUGCCAUCAUUAAGUUGGGCACUCUAAGUUGACUGCCGGUGACAAACCGGAGGAAGGUGGGGAUGACGUCAAAUCAUCAUGCCCCUUAUGAUUUGGGCUACACACGUGCUACAAUGGACAAUACAAAGGGCAGCGAAACCGCGAGGUCAAGCAAAUCCCAUAAAGUUGUUCUCAGUUCGGAUUGUAGUCUGCAACUCGACUACAUGAAGCUGGAAUCGCUAGUAAUCGUAGAUCAGCAUGCUACGGUGAAUACGUUCCCGGGUCU